UCCCCAGCCUGUGGUUUAUUCUGCCUUCAC
rnacentral:piRNA from 1 species